GGCCAGCUAGUUUUAUUUACUUUGUAGUCAUGUGUGCACGUACACAAGUGGAGUUGCAGCAGACUGCGUGGCCCUCCCCUCUGCCUGGGCGCUCUUCUCUAACAAAGGAGGGCAGUCCAAAGGCCACUGAAGAAGUCCACGAAUCUUCCUUGUUGCCUGCAGUAAGCUUUGGAUCAGGCCCCAGUGAGCCAGCAAGAACGUGCCGUUCAGCGUGCUAUAACAAGUCCACCGGCAUGUGCUGAUAGCUGCAGGAGAGCUGUUAGAAGUACACCCCUAAAAAUGAGGAAGAUCUUGGCUGAGGAGGCAGCAGCUUCUGGCCCAGCCCUCACCCCCCACACAACGCGUGAAACACACCGGAGCCUCUUAAAUUAGGGAACAGAGCAGCCCUGCACCCAUUCUUUCCUCCAUGCGAUAUCACAGGAAAGCUGGAGAGUAUUGUAUUACUCUUAAUACACUUUGUGAUCGUGUAAGUCUCCCAAAUCCCACUGCCAGUAAGCUCUGGUGAUUAAACAGCUUACUGAAGGGAAACCAUAGCUAAUACUUUCUACCCUUAUCAAAGUGUAUUGCUAAUGAGGACUGGGAAAACUCUCAGUGUUAAUACAACAUCUGUAGAUUAACAUUAGCUUACUCGUGCUUUCACAGUCAAUGGCUAAAAUUCAGUCAAUCACUUGGAUUCACGUCACACUUCUAAUUGGUGUUACGGUACAUCAGUCUCAGUAUUUCCCCAGCAGAAGUACACCGGGAGUGGAAAAGGCAACAUCAAGAGCUGGAGGCCAAAGAAGAAAUUUGCAACAAGUUGCUUGGACAUCAUGAUUUAGGAACCUUACAGGAGGUCUGGGAACAGAGGUUCGGGGCUCCUAAUCAUAGAAUCAUGGAAUCAUUAAGUUUGGAAAGACCACUAAGAUCACCUAGUCCAACCCUCAGCUCAUCCCCACCAUGCCCACUGAGCCCCAUUGCAUCAUGCAGUGCAACACCUAUUCUUUUCUUGAAAACCUCCAAGGACUGUGACCCCACCACCUCCUUGGGCAGCCCGUUCCUUCUUCCUUAUGGAAAAUGGAAAAACAGAAAUCAAUGAAGGACGUGACAGAAAAGGAUAAGCAGCAUGCGUCUGAUGAUGAGAAGGAGGGAAGCAUGGCAGGGCGAGAGACAAAGUGCAGCUGGCACAUUAAAAAGCAAUCAGAGGAAAAGAAACCAGUAGUUCAACUGAACAACCACCAGUGUCUUUAAUUCUAUCUAGUUUUACUGUGGGUGCAUGCUGUGCAACACUGCUUUGAAAUCUCUGAGAAACAGAUGUAGUUAACAACUCUUCCGCAGUGUAGAAGGGAAGAAAUUCUGUACUAAUUGACAAAGGAGUAAGAAGAUUCUUUUUAAAGAAGGGAGAAUAGUUUCAGUGUGCCCUCCAGGACACUAUAGGAUGGUCUCAGAUUCAAGUACAAACUCAUCGGCUACAUGGAAGCCUUGAACUCCACAAAGAUAAAUCCGUCACACAUCAGUAAAUGCAGAAAUGACAGAGAGAGCAAGACAUCCCUUAGCAACCCAACUGCUUUCCAUGCCUGGAAGACUGGCUCCUGUCAGCACAAGUAACAUAGAUGACCCAGAGCAUGUUCUCUCACCAACACAAGUAAGCUGCAUACCAAAAAGUCUGCCCUUCCCAGAAGCAUCUCUGUAAAGAGAAUGGAUGUGAACACAGACUCUGCGAGCCUAUGCCAUCUUCUGUCCCAGAUAACUCCAGAAUACUCCCAGCUCUGCAGAGCAGAGUUUUCUUGAAAGAAAUUGGGAAAAGAACCGAGACUGCCAGAGGAUGGAAGCCAAAUUAAUUUCUGUAGAAACAGGUUCAUCUCUUACUGGCAUCUGCAGAGUUGCGUCAGCUUGUUGCGGAUAUGGAUUAGGCCUUGUGCUUCUGAGAAUCCAGCUUUGUUUCAAUUCUUCUGAGCACUUCCUUCUUUCCUUCUGACUGCACUUCAGUUUUGAUCCAAGUAUCAAAGAGGCUCAUGCAGCAGCUAACUUGCACCAAACACAGCAUAAAUUUCUACUGACGGCUUACCUAGAUGACGUGCAGCUCAAUGGAGACCAAAAAGGGGCAAAAGAGAGUUGAGUUCAAGCUGGCAAUGACGUGGGUGAUCCUACUAGAGAAACCUCGAAAAAAGAUCAACAUCUCAAAACUUCUGGAGAUAGCCUUGACCUGAUGAGCGAGUUCAGUUGUUAACUAAGUUGGUGGCCUAAGUUUCAAUGUUACAAACUUGUGUUUGUAUGUUUUCACGUCACACUAACCUCCUUCUUGCAGAGGCUGAAGAGGAAAUGACAACAUCAAGGAAUUAUUUUUUGGGGGUCACAGCACUUACAGAAAUCAGUAACAUAUCUUUCCAGGGCUAAAUUUAGACUGCUGUUUUAAAACGUCACAUGAUUAUCGAUGGGAGAAGGAAGUCCGUGAGUUAUGGCCUCCUACAUGCAUGCUACAGUUUGGUGAAGAUGAUGAGUUAAAACUGAAGGCACUGGAAUGACAGAGCAGCCCUUCAACCCCACUGCAGGUUUGGUUUUGACAACGUUAGUGUGGCAGUAAGGAUCUUGUGAUGCUCUCCUCAUUUCCUUUUUAUUGCACCGUGUGUCAGUGGGCCCAGAAUUAGGCUAGUCUUCCUUUCCCGACAAGAAAGGCUUGUGAUAGUUAGUACCACUGCAGCGUUUCUGGAGAGGUACAUAUUUCUCUGCACCUGCCUUGAGGUUUGCCACAGAGCACAGGAGCUGCACUGGGCAGCUGUGGGCGGGUGGAGGAGUUUGUUAGAGAUAUCAAAGGACGAACUGGGGGAGUUUUGUUAGCAGAAUGAACAACCUUGCCAGCUGAUCUGUAGUGCAUUUUGCACUGCUGUUGCUGUGGCAUUGCUCCUGUGCUUAAAUAAGAGGGUUCUGUCUUCUAGAGGCAUUCUCCUGUAGGAAAAAAAAAAAAAAAGGAAGAAUGUGACCAGGAAGAAUGAUUUUUUAUGCACGGAAUGAGCUAUAUCCUCAGCUAGUGUAAAUCUGUCUAGCUUUGCCAAAAGCUACAGAGCUAUGCUGUCUGCAGCAACACCUUAUACCAGUAUUUUGUCCUUUUAUCAAAAAAGGGAUGGAGGGGUGGUAGCGUCAGGCGUACUUAAGAUAUAUCACUCUCUGUGUCCUCACAACUUUAUGUCAUCAACCCUAUGUGUGGUUAUGAGUCACCAAUAGACGAUUCUGCCAACUGAUUCUGCCAUUCUGUCUUUCAGCAGCGUGCCAACAACAAGUAGUCCUCAGGUAUCUUAUGUCCGGAUGUGAUCGUAGCAUUGAAGAAUGAGCAAGAGGCAGCUUCAGUCCAGGCUUCUGGUGUGUCCUGGUACUUGGAGGCCAGGGAGAAGUCCAAGAAGUACGAGGUUCGCCCAUAGCUUCCAUAGAAUCGGAGAAUGCAUGAGGUUGUAAAGGACCUUACAGCCCACCCAUUUCCAAUCCCCCUGCUGUAGGCAGGGCUGUCACUCAGUAGAUCAGGCUGCCCAUGGCGCCAUCCAUCCUGCCCUUGACCACCACCAGGGACGGGACACCCACAGCUGCUCUGGGCAGCCUAUGACAGUGCGUCACCGCUCUCCGAGUGCUUUGUCUACUACGCUCCUCUACUACCCUACCUAUUUGGGUCUUUUGCUCCCUGAUCGGUCCAGGGCCACUUAGGUACUGAGAAACAGAAGCUUGCUUGCAGGGUGCAAACUGCAAGAUCCCUGUAUGCUCCAGUACCUGCCUGCUCACCAGAAGGGCGAAGACAAGAUGAGACAGGCAGUGCAGAGAGGCGGUGCGCCGUGCGUACGUGUGCCUGCCUGUGGAGAGACCCAUCACCUUUGUGCGUGCCGCUGCUGCUGGCUUGCAUGGGAGAGAUGCUGUGUUUCUGCAAGCUGCUCUUCUUGGCUCCGUGGAGAACGGAGAGGUUGUUCCGAAGCUGGAGGUCCUGUUAGAAGCCAGCAAACAUUCUCAAGCCCUGAGCUCUGCAGGGCACGAGCUUUCCUUUCACCGUGUCAACGGCAGUAUCUAGAACAAUGGCUUCUAGAUCCAUUUUCAGAUUACCAGAUACCUCUCUGAUGGAAACAACCAGCAGUGGCGAUGCGGUUGAGAAUUGCAUCAGAGCGAACAGCGUUUCUGCAGCACCAGGAGCGCAGACUUUAUUUGGAGCCAUAUUCUGCAGUCCUGCCUCAAAGCUUGGGCACGCAUCAGCAGUAGUGCAGCCAGCAGGAGCGCGGUGCUCAUCGGCUCUGGUGGGGCCACACCCCGAGCACUGUGUGCAGUCUGGGGCCCCUCGCUACAAGAAAGACAUCGAGGCACUGGAGCGCGUCCAGAGAAGGGAUACGAAGCCGCGAGGG
ensembl:lncRNA